AAACUGUUGUAGUAUGGCAGUGAUAAUGGUCAAGAUUGAAGAAAGCCAGACCGAGUUGUAAGAGAAAGCGUGUUGAUCGCGAUGAAUGGCAUGAUUUUGAUGACCGCAGACUGGAGGACUGAGCCAACUGAACUGAACUGCGUGUUGGAUAUUAUUUGAGCAUCUAUUCAAACGUCAAAAUGGAAAUAAUUCAGUGCGUGGCUAGAUGGUCAACAGAUGUAAAUCGUUGCCUGCAAUAGUGCACGUGUCUUGUUGUUCUAUCGGAUCUAUACAGUUGCUUCGGUACAUGUAUCGUCCAAGAGUAUGAGACAGAGGACUCGAAAUUUCGGACACGGGGCGAGUGACCACUGCUAGCGAGCUUUGUGACCAAUGACGUGGCCAGGGUUGCCAGCCAUUAUUACAGUGAGUGAACGCAGAAAGGAUAGUCCAGGUGCUGAAGCCUCUUGAGGAGCUUGGCAGCAAUGAAGACUGAACACGUUCACAAGUUUCACCACGAGUGGAUCGCGCCCAUCAGAAUCUCUGGUCUGUACUGUCACCCGGUCGAGCAUUGCCUCUCAAACAUAUUGCCGGUAAUGGCUGGUCCCGUCCUGCUCGGCUCUCACUGUAUGCUGCUGCUGCUGCUGUGGGCCUGCAUCUCGCUGGCCGUCGCACACUGCGGCUUCCACCUGCCGUUCAUGGCGUCCAACGAGUACCACGACUACCAUCAUGCAAAUUUGGUAAGUCUGCCAUUCGAUGAUGCCGAGACCUCUGGUCAGUUGAGCAUGGCAGGUCCCACCAGCACCGUCUCACUGCUGACUCCAUGCUAGUCCCAUGUGCCUGCCGGAAUCUUUGAUUUUCUGUUUGGCACGGACAGUCGCUUCCGUAAAUCAAAGUCGUACAAGCGCCACUCCAUGCUACUUGGCACCACCCCAGCCAACGUUCUGCUUCCGGACGAACCGAAGAAAUGCCAGUAAAAAGGUUAAGUCGGCAGUGCAUGUACAUGUGUGCAUCCUCACUGCUGUUGCUAGUCUCCUCACAGUCCACCCUUGACCGUCCCAUUCUCAAGUUUCAAUGCUAGUCUCCUCACAGUCCACCCUUGACCGUCCCAUUCUCCAGUUUCAAUGCUAGUCUCCUCACAGUCCACCCUUGACCGUCCCAUUCUCCAGUUUCAAUGCUAGUCUCCUCACAGUCCACCCUUGACCGUCCCAUUCUCCAGUUUCAAUGCUAGUCUCCUCACAGUCCACCCUUGACCGUCCCAUUCUCCAGUUUCAAUGCUAGUAUCAUCACUACUCUACAUGUAUAUGUGUUUUAGCAUAUCCACCAUCAAUACUGGUCACAUGACAAAUUACACUUACCUACCCUCACUACUUCUAGUA